rnacentral:rRNA from 1 species
GGGUCAAGCGAACAAGUGCAUGUGGUGGAUGCCUUGGCGAUCACAGGCGAUGAAGGACGCGGUAGCCUGCGAAAAGCUACGGGGAGCUGGCAAACAAGCUUUGAUCCGUAGAUGUCCGAAUGGGGAAACCCACUCCUUUUGGAGUAUCCAUGGCUGAAUACAUAGGCCAUGCGAAGCGAACGCGGUGAACUGAAACAUCUAAGUAACCGCAGGAAAAGAAAUCAACCGAGAUUCCCAAAGUAGUGGCGAGCGGAAAUGGGAUGAGCCUUGCACUCUUUAUUUGUAUUGUUAGCCGAACGCUCUGGAAAGUGCGGCCAUAGCAGGUGAUAGCCCUGUAGGCGAAAACAGUAUGAAAAGAACUAGGUGUGCGACAAGUAGGGCGGGACACGUGAAAUCCUGUCUGAAGAUGGGGGACCAUCCUCCAAGGCUAAAUACUCGUGAUCGACCGAUAGUGAACCAGUACCGUGAGGGAAAGGCGAAAAGAACCCCGGAGGGGAGUGAAAUAGAUCCUGAAACCGCAUGCAUACAAACAGUCGGAGCCUCGUAAGGGGUGACGGCGUACCUUUUGUAUAAUGGGUCAGCGACUUACGUUCAGUAGCAAGCUUAACCGUAUAGGGCAGGCGUAGCGAAAGCGAGUCCGAAUAGGGCGUUCAGUUGCUGGGCGUAGACCCGAAACCAGGUGAUCUAUCCAUGGCCAGGAUGGAAGGUGCGGUAACACGUACUGGAGGUCCGAACCCACUAACGUUGAAAAGUUAGGGAUGAGCUGUGGAUAGGGGUGAAAGGCUAAACAAACCUGGAAAUAGCUGGUUCUCUCCGAAAACUAUUUAGGUAGUGCCUCGUGUCUCACCUUCGGGGGUAGAGCACUGUCAUGGUUGGGGGUCUAUUGCAGAUUACCCGCCAUAGCAAACUCCGAAUACCGAAGAGUGCAAUCACGGGAGACAGACAUCGGGUGCUAACGUCGGUGUCAAGAGGGAAACAACCCAGACCGCCAGCUAAGGUCCCAAAUAUAGCUAAGUGGGAAACGAAGGGAAGGCUAAAACAGUCAGGAGGUUGGCUUAGAAGCAGCCACCCUUUAAAGAAAGCGUAAUAGCCCACUGAUCGAGUCGUCCUGCGCGGAAGAUGUAACGGGGCUAAGCUAUAUACCGAAGCUGGCGGAUGCGUGCUUGCACGCGCAUGGUAGGAGAGCGUUCCGUAAGCCUGCGAAGGUGCCUUGUAAAGGGUGCUGGAGGUAUCGGAAGUGCGAAUGCUGACAAUGAGUAGCGAUAAAGGGGGUGAAAGGCCCCUCGCCGUAAGCCCAAGGUUUCCUACGCAACGUUCAUCGGCGUAGGGUGAGUCGGCCCCUAAGGCGAGGCAGAAAUGCGUAGCUGAUGGGGAAGCAGGUCAAUAUUCCUGCACCAUUGUUAGAUGCGGAUGGGGGACGGAUCGCGGAAGGUUGUCCGGGUGUUGGAAGUCCCGGUCGCUGCAUUGGAGAAGGCGCUUAGGCAAAUCCGGGCGCGUAAUUCAAGGGUGUGGCGCGAGCUCCUUCGGGGAGCGAAGCAAUUGGAAGUGGUUCCAAGAAAAGCCUCUAAGCUUCAGUCUAACGAUGACCGUACCGCAAACCGACACAGGUGGGGCGAGAUGAGUAUUCUAAGGCGCUUGAGAGAACUCGGGAGAAGGAACUCGGCAAAUUGGUACCGUAACUUCGGGAUAAGGUACGCCCUUGUAGCUUGACUGGCCUGCGCCAGGAGGGUGAAGGGGUUGCAAUAAACUGGUGGCUGCGACUGUUUAAUAAAAACACAGCACUCUGCAAACACGAAAGUGGACGUAUAGGGUGUGACGCCUGCCCGGUGCCGGAAGAUUAAAUGAUGGGGUGCAAGCUCUUGAUUGAAGUCCCGGUAAACGGCGGCCGUAACUAUAACGGUCCUAAGGUAGCGAAAUUCCUUGUCGGGUAAGUUCCGACCUGCACGAAUGGCGUAACGAUGGCCACACUGUCUCCUCCCGAGACUCAGCGAAGUUGAAGUGUUUGUGAUGAUGCAAUCUACCCGCGGCUAGACGGAAAGACCCCAUGAACCUUUACUGUAGCUUUGCAUUGGACUUUGAACCGAUCUGUGUAGGAUAGGUGGGAGGCUAUGAAACCGGAACGCUAGUUUCGGUGGAGCCGUCCUUGAAAUACCACCCUGGUUUGUUUGAGGUUCUAACCUUGGCCCGUGAUCCGGGUCGGGGACAGUGCAUGGUAGGCAGUUUGACUGGGGCGGUCUCCUCCCAAAGCGUAACGGAGGAGUACGAAGGUACGCUAGGUACGGUCGGAAAUCGUGCUGAUAGUGCAAUGGCAUAAGCGUGCUUAACUGCGAGACCGACAAGUCGAGCAGGUGCGAAAGCAGGUCAUAGUGAUCCGGUGGUUCUGUAUGGAAGGGCCAUCGCUCAACGGAUAAAAGGUACUCUGGGGAUAACAGGCUGAUACCGCCCAAGAGUUCAUAUCGACGGCGGUGUUUGGCACCUCGAUGUCGGCUCAUCUCAUCCUGGGGCUGUAGCCGGUCCCAAGGGUAUGGCUGUUCGCCAUUUAAAGAGGUACGUGAGCUGGGUUUAAAACGUCGUGAGACAGUUUGGUCCCUAUCUGCCGUGGGCGUUGGAUAUUUGAAGGGGGCUGCUCCUAGUACGAGAGGACCGGAGUGGACGAACCUCUGGUGUACCGGUUGUCACGCCAGUGGCAUCGCCGGGUAGCUAUGUUCGGAAGAGAUAACCGCUGAAAGCAUCUAAGCGGGAAACUCGCCUUAAGAUGAGAUAUCCCUGGGGACUAGAUCCCCUUGAAGGGUCGUUCGAGACCAGGACGUUGAUAGGUCAGGUGUGUAAGCGCAGUAAUGCGUUCAGCUAACUGAUACUAAUUGCCCGUAAGGCUUGAUCCUAUAACAAGUCUGCCUUGUAGAUCGGCGCCGUGUGAAAGCACUGGCCGCGAUCCAGAGCGACAAGUUGGAUUCUCGUGUGUGAUACACACAACCUAAAUUACUGCUUCUUCCAAGAUUGGUUGCGCUGCGAAGCAACGCAACAACCCCCUUUGCCUGAUGACCAUAGCGAGUCGGUCCCACCCCUUCCCAUCCCGAACAGGACCGUGAAACGACUCUACGCCGAUGAUAGUGCGGAUUCCCGUGUGAAAGUAGGUAAUCGUCAGGC